UUGUCUGAUUCUACGCGUUCUUUCGAUCUCUUAUUAUGAGAAUCAUCGGUUGGUAAGUUUAUAAAUGCUUUGUAUCCUUAAAGUUGUUUAUUUUCGCGGAGAGGAGGAAUUAAAGGUUUAGCUUAUUAUCUUCAUCUCUUCCGAGUGUAAUUUCUGACGCUCCAUUAUUUACCGAGGAAAAAUUUUGUUCUGGAUAACUGGUUUCUAGAGUCAAUUAACUGGGAUAUACACAAGAGACCUUCUUAGCAUGAUUCUAUAUAUCUACUGGCAGUGCAGUACACACACACACAGUGUAAGCAGAACGAGGACAAUAACUCAGUUAAUUGUUGAUUUCUUUACAAAAACAGGAUGGGGUGGAAAGACUGACGAUUCGCGUCCAGUUCCUGAAUCAUGUCUUGUAGCACAGUUUGGUCGCACACUUAUCUUUUUAAUUGUGCUAAAAUCUUUGAUGUUUCUAUGUGUUUCUGUGAUAAGAAUAUUAAAGUUCUUAAGCAUUCACUGGACACUGGCAACAAAAAAUUAAGGAAGGUAAUUCUUCCCUUUUUUAGACUGAUAAUAAAGUAUAUAUGUAUGAUCUUUAAUUUUAGAGAACAUAAUAUACCACAGUACACUACAGCCCUCAAUACGGUCGUUAACCAGCAAACGAAAAUUGAUGUGUUCUACUUCUUACGAGUAGUCAGGAUGAAUACGGUUGACAUCGUUUUUAGGACUGUAUUUUCAAGCGCAUAGGUAGAUUUAUAUCUUAUUUGAAUAUAGUGAACGAUAAAGAUUUUCUUUUAUUUCAAGUACCCUGUGUGAAUGUAGUACGUGGCUUUACUUAAUUUAAUGACAUACAAUGUCUAUAUACGUUCCACGUGCCCUAAAGUUCUGCAGUCGCGCCAUGGUUUUUGGUCAUGUUUUUCACCUAAGAUGCCAUAAUGACUAUACGAUGCUCAAAUUUCUCCAGAGAAAGUAAGAUAUCUUGCAGCUGCAGUGGUUCAAAGAAGACCUUCAUUACCAUGCAGGAAGGUACACACGUACCUCCACGACCGUUAACUAACUUUGGCACACACGUCUAGUUAGCAGCAGUUUCCUCAAUAAAUCAACCUCACUCGUCCUACUUAACCCAGUUUUCUCUUCUUUCUAAGAGUAAAGUUAAGUGGUGCUGGAGGUAAAGACGACAGGGGUACCUGACACACCACAAAGUUUGUUUGGAGGAGAAUUUAAAGACAGCACACAAAAAGAAACCUACACAAGGAGAAAUAAAUAUGUAUUUAUUAUAUCUGAAGUCCACGAUACCUGUUACACAAGUUGCCGUAUGAUGUUCACAAUACAAACUAUAAUUUUUCUUAUUCUGCGAAAACAACACAAGAUUUUAAGCCUUAUAUCAUAGUCCUAUGAGAGGCGGACGUCACAUUACGUGCUGUGAAUUGCUCAGGAUUUUUAACUCGAGAAGUUGUGGUACAGUUUCCCUACAGCUGGAAGUGUGGGUGUGUUUCUCAAGAGUGUCAUGUAAGUGUGUUUCACAAGUGGUGUUGUAGAGAUAUUUUUCACUUAUGGGGAUGGUGUACUUGUUUCUCUAUGAGUGUGUCUCUUGAAGGAGAAAUAUUGGAUGUGUCUCUAACGUUUUAACUACAAGGUGUUUUAUUUUUUUUGUGUGUAUGCGUGUUAAUGUAAAGCAGCAUGAUCACCUAUACGAUACACUACAUUAUUAUAUUCUUUACAGGUGGGGGAAGAUCCGUAUGCUAGAGCCCUACCAGGAACCGUACAAGGAGGCGCCGCCCCAGCUCCUGCAGCACCGCCCCUCCUGCCCUAUGGCCGACCCCUGCGCCCUCCCCAUCAACCCCCUCAAGGCUGACCAAAUGGGGUAUCGUCGACCCCGCCAGAACUCAGUCUUCGUGGGCCGGACUCGCUCACACAGCCUCGAGGUCCACCCGCCCAGGAGAGUGAAGAGCGCCCUCAACCUGACGACACUGGUGCUGCAGGAGAGUGAGGAGGAGGGGGCCAUGGCCACAACCUUCACCUAGCUGGACCAGUGUCGACUGUCUCCUAUCUGGGCCAGUGUCGACCUUCACAUAGCUGGACCAGUGUCGGCCGCCACCUAGCAUGUGACACCACCAUCGUCACUUAGCCAAGGGAGCCAUAACACCGUUUCCAUUUUUCUAUUGGUACCAACAUAUUGGUCACCUCUCUCACCUAGCAUGACAGCACCAUGAUUACCACCUUCCCCUAGCCUAAGGCAGCACCAAGUAUACCACUAUCACCUAGCAAAACACAGCACUAUGGUCAUCACGUUCACCUAUCAGGACACAUCACUAUGGCCACCACCUUCACCUAGCUGGUAGAGAACCAUUAGUCACCACCAUCACCCAGCUGGACCUUUAAUGACAUCUACCUUCACAACUUCACCUAACAGGGGACUCUAAGCAAAAGAGGCACCACCUACACCAAGCUGGCAACACCGUCACAUUCACCUUGCUUCAUCACCUGCAUAAUCCCUCAUGUGUUUAGGUGAACCUUCCUGACCUUGUAGCUCACAUGCUCGGUGGCAGAGCUCAAGGUGACUGAAGGAAACCUCCAAGUUUCGGCUCAAGAGACACCGUUCUGGAGUGAAUCACCCAGACGUCCCCGUGAUGGUGGUACGAUCCCGGUUGAAGAUGAUGGUGAUAAUGGUGAUAAUGAGGAUGGUGGUGAUGAUGAUAGUGAGGACGUCGAAUGAUAUUAGCGAAUAUGGUGAUGAUGAUGGUGAUUAUAAACGGGAUUAUGACGAGGAUGAUAAUGAUGAUGAUGAUAGCGACGAGGAUAACGAUGAUUAUAAUGGUAGUGAUAAUGGAUGACGGAUGAAAGUGUUAAUGAAGAUGAUAAUACAAGGAAAAGAUGAUGAUGGUAUUGAUAGUGUUGACAGUGUUGCGUGAAGAUGUGAAUAUGAAUGAUAACGAAGACUAUGAUGAUGAUGAUGAUGAUGAUGAUGAUGGUGAUGGUGAUGAUGAUGAUGAUACCAGAUUUUAAACGACACUAAUACUGAUGGUAAUGCUAACAGUGUCGGGUAAUGAUAGUAGUGAUGAUGAUGAUGAUGAUGAUGAUGAUGGUAACAUUAAGUGAGUGUUGAUAAUAAUGAUAAGGAUGAUAUCAGAUAAAGAUGAAACUAAUAAUGAAAAUAAAACUCAGUGAUGGAAUUAAUGAUGAUGAUGGUGGUAAAUAUGCAAAAGAUAAAUAUGAACAUAAUGAUAAUAUUGGUAAGAUACUGGCCGGGAUUUUUAAUGAUGGUGAUCUAUGAUAAUGACCAAUGGUGAUAGUGAUGAUGAUACCAAGUGAUAAUAACAGAAAAUAACUGUCAAUUAUACCCUAUGUUAAUAUUAGACAAGGAUAGGGGUUCUGGCGAGUAUAAUGGUGAUAGUGGUGAUGAUGAUAACAAGUGAUGAGGGUGACAUGUCAUUAUCAUAAUAUACACGUAACGCUGGUGCUGGGAGAGAAUUUAUCACGAUCAGUGUUAUAAAUGAUGGAUAAAAAUGGCAGUGAGUCAUUUUUAUACUUUAAUAUUUUAAUGAGUUUUUGGAGAUGGUUACUGAGAAAAGUUCAAUCAUACUUUAUAUUAAUGAGUGAAGCUGAAAAUGAUGUUCGAGGCUGGAAGUGAUACAAAGUGCUGGGAAUAAACCAAAGUGUUGGAAACAAUGUUAUGUGCUGGAAACGUUACAAAGUGCUGGAAAUAAACCAAAAGGCUGUAAAUUAACCAAUGUGCUAGAAAUAAAUAAAGUGCUGGAGACGACAAAAAAAA